GAUGAACGCUAGCGGCAGGCCUAAUACAUGCAAGUCGAACGGUGUCUUCGGACAUAGUGGCGCACGGGUGCGUAACACGUAUGCAACCUACCUUACAUUGGGGGAUAGCCUUUCGAAAGGGAGAUUAAUACCGCAUAAGACAGUAGCUGGGCAUCCAGCAGCUGUUAAAGAUUUAUCGAUGUAAGAUGGGCAUGCGUCCAAUUAGUUAGUUGGCGAGGUAACGGCUCACCAAGACUUUGAUUGGUAGGGGAACUGAGAGGUCAAUCCCCCACACUGGCACUGGGAUACGGGCCAGACUCCUACUGGAGGCAGCAGUAGGGAAUAUUGGGCAAUGGACGCAAGUCUGACCCAGCCAUGCCGCGUGCAGGAUGAAGGCGUUAUGCGUUGUAAACUGCUUUUAUACAGGAAGAAACGACUCUUGCGAGAGGCAUUGACGGUACUGUAUGAAUAAGCACCGGCUAACUCCGUGCCAGCCGCCGCCGUAAGAC
rnacentral:rRNA from 1 species